rnacentral:rRNA from 1 species
ACCCUUGGGACCGACUACAGCCCCAGGAUGCGAUGAGCCGACAUCGAGGUGCCAAAAUAUAUGUUAAGUGGAAAAGGAUGUGGCGUUGCCCAGACAACUAGGAUGUUGGCUUAGAAGCAGCCAUCAUUUAAAGAGUGCGUAAUAGCUCACUAGUCGAGUGACACUGCGCCGAAAAUGUACCGGGGCUAAACAUAUUACCGAAGCUGUGGAUUGUCCUUUGGACAAUGGUAGGAGAGCGUUCUAAGGGCGUUGAAGCAUGAUCGUAAGGACAUGUGGAGCGCUUAGAAGUGAGAAUGCCGGUGUGAGUAGCGAAAGACGGGUGAGAAUCCCGUCCACCGAUUGACUAAGGUUUCCAGAGGAAGGCUCGUCCGCUCUGGGUUAGUCGGGUCCUAAGCUGAGGCCGACAGGCGUAGGCGAUGGAUAACAGGUUGAUAUUCCUGUACCACCUAUAAUCGUUUUAAUCGAUGGGGGGACGCAGUAGGAUAGGCGAAGCGUGCGAUUGGAUUGCACGUCUAAGCAGUAAGGCUGAGUAUUAGGCAAAUCCGGUACUCGUUAAGGCUGAGCUGUGAUGGGGAGAAGACAUUGAGUCUUCGAGUCGUUGAUUUCACACUGCCGAGAAAAGCCUCUAGAUAGAAAAUAGGUGCCCGUACCGCAAACCGACACAGGUAGUCAAGAUGAGAAUUCUAAGGUGAGCGAGCGAACUCUCGUUAAGGAACUCGGCAAAAUGACCCCGUAACUUCGGGAGAAGGGGUGCUCUUUAGGGUUAACGCCCAGAAGAGCCGCAGUGAAUAGGCCCAAGCGACUGUUUAUCAAAAACACAGGUCUCUGCUAAACCGUAAGGUGAUGUAUAGGGGCUGACGCCUGCCCGGUGCUGGAAGGUUAAGAGGAGUGGUUAGCUUCUGCGAAGCUACGAAUCGAAGCCCCAGUAAACGGCGGCCGUAACUAUAACGGUCCUAAGGUAGCGAAAUUCCUUGUCGGGUAAGUUCCGACCCGCACGAAAGGCGUAACGAUUUGGGCACUGUCUCAACGAGAGACUCGGUGAAAUCAUAGUACCUGUGAAGAUGCAGGUUACCCGCGACAGGACGGAAAGACCCCGUGGAGCUUUACUGUAGCCUGAUAUUGAAAUUCGGCACAGCUUGUACAGGAUAGGUAGGAGCCUUUGAAACGUGAGCGCUAGCUUACGUGGAGGCGCUGGUGGGAUACUACCCUAGCUGUGUUGGCUUUCUAACCCGCACCACUUAUCGUGGUGGGAGACAGUGUCAAGCGGGCAGUUUGACUGGGGCGGUCGCCUCCUAAAAGGUAACGGAGGCGCUCAAAGGUUCCCUCAGAAUGGUUGGAAAUCAUUCAUAGAGUGUAAAGGCAUAAGGGAGCUUGACUGCGAGACCUACAAGUCGAGCAGGGUCGAAAGACGGACUUAGUGAUCCGGUGGKUCCGCAUGGAAGGGCCAUCGCUCAACGGAUAAAAGCUACCCCGGGGAUAACAGGCUUAUCUCCCCCAAGAGUUCACAUCGACGGGGAGGUUUGGCACCUCGAUGUCGGCUCAUCGCAUCCUGGGGCUGUAGUCGGUCCCAAGGGUUGGGCUGUUCGCCCAUUAAAGCGGUACGCGAGCUGGGUUCAGAACGUCGUGAGACAGUUCGGUCCCUAUCCGUCGUGGGCGUAGGAAAUUUGAGAGGAGCUGUCCUUAGUACGAGAGGACCGGGAUGGACAUACCUCUGGUGUACCAGUUGUCGUGCCAACGGCAUAGCUGGGUAGCUAUGUGUGGACGGGAUAAGUGCUGAAAGCAUCUAAGCAUGAAGCCCCCCUCAAGAUGAGAUUUCCCAACUUCGGUUAU